CAAGCUCACACUCAAAAUUUUCCCUUGAAGUUUUUCCAAGCUCACCCCUAACUUAGUGUUUCAGCUCACAUCAAAGAGAGUUUUUCUUCCUAGGCUAACUCUCAAACCCUUUCCCAAGUGUUUAAGGCUAUUGACCUAAGAGUCACUUGAUCUCUAUUUUGAUCUUAAUAACCAAAUUGAAUAUUGCUAACUUCUGUUUAAGUGUCUAUAUGACAGUAUAUUUAAAGAUUUCAAAUGGGUCAAAGCUUUUCCAAGCUUUCAAGAAAGUAUUGUAAAAAAUCCAAAAAGCACGAGGGCGCUUUUCACAUGGUCAAAAUUAUACAAGUCGUUGAAAACUCCAUUUGACUACCUACCAAUAAUGAGGUGACAUAUAGCAGUCAAAAGGUUAAAUCCUAAAAAAGCACUAGGGCGCUCUAAUUUGAAGCAUAAAACUCAAAGUGGCAGAUGAUUUUGUGAUGAGAAGCGCAAGGGCACUUCUGAGCGCAAACAAGACAAGCGCGAGGGCGCUUCGUAGGCACGAUGGUGGUUUUCGCAAUUAAUGCAAUGUCAAUAACUGUUAAGACAUCAACCAUCAAGUCAAAGCCACGUGUCUGAAGCUGUUGAAGCGCCAACGACUCUUUUUAAAAAGCGCAAGGGCGCUUGAGAAGCGCAGGGGCACUUUUCAUGACAACAUGCAACCUUUUGCUAAGUCACCUAAUUUGCAUUAAAUGAGUUUUGGACCUAUUAUAAUAUCUCCAAGAGGUAGGUAUGAAUAUAAAUACUUCUUAUAAAG
rnacentral:lncRNA from 1 species